AAACAUGUCUGGGGGCAUUUCCUUGUCAAAUCUUUAUAUCUCUCCCAAGUUUCAUAGAGAGUCUCCCCAUCUUGUUGUCUAAAAGUCUGGACUUCAGGUCUCAGUCU